CGUGUAGGCGGAUUUUUAAGUCAGGUGUGAAAUCUUUGGGCUUAACCCAGAGUUUGCAUUUGAAACUGGAAGUCUUGAGUGCAGGAGAGGGCAGUGGAAUUCCUAGUGUAGCGGUGAAAUGCGUAGAUAUUAGGAGGAACACCAGUGGCGAAGGCGACUGCCUGGACUGUAACUGACGCUGAGGCGCGAAAGCGUGGGGAGCAAACA
rnacentral:rRNA from 1 species